rnacentral:lncRNA from 1 species
GAAAGAGUCUUAACAAUGUCAAAAAUCGUGAGAAAAGUGCUCUAACUAAAGAUUAACCACCUCCAUAUGUAACCGGUGUUUAUUCUCAGGAACUAUAUAAUUAGCGUUAUAAGUUCACAUAUGAAUAAUCCAAUAUCAGAUAAUUAGUAAAAGAGUAAAAAGUGGAUAUAUCUUAUAAGCUUUUAGGAUGAAUGUGUUCUAUUAAAUAUGUCACAUUCUUAGACUUAUGUGGACCUGAGUUGGGACUAAAUUAAACUACCUAACACUUA